rnacentral:rRNA from 1 species
CACGUAGGGUGCGAGCGUUGUCCGGAAUUAUUGGGCGUAAAGAGCUCGUAGGCGGUGUGUCGCGUCGGCCGUGAAAACCUGCAGCUUAACUGUGGGCUUGCGGUCGAUACGGGCAUCACUGGAGUUCGGCAGGGGGAGACUGGAAUUCCUGGUGUAGCGGUGAAAUGCGCAGAUAUCAGGAGGAACACCAACGGCGAAGGCAGCUCUCUGGGACGUUUACUGACGCUGAGA